AAGGAUCUCGUCUGGGGAUCCCUCCUUCUGGUGUUUUGUGGUGAGCCCAGCAUAAGGCAGGAGAAUUACUGCUGGAGAAAGCUUUACCAUCCCUGUGUGGGAGUCAGAGCCAAUAACCAUGCUUUGGUGCAGGGAAGGGAUCAGGAAGAGGAAUGCUGCUCCAAGGAUGCUCCAGAUGCUCACACGGAGUCGUUGUCAUGAGCACGGUGCUCCCCAUGGGCAUCUCCAUGGCUACCUCAGCACUGAGCAGUGGGGAUGCAAGUGGUGCAGAAAGCACAGAAAGCUCAAAGGCUGCGUGCUCCCUCCCAUCCACGAGCAAUUGGGAUCAUCCAAAAGGUUUAUCCUUGGGGAUGUUGGCUGUUUUUCAGCCAGAGCUCAAAUGCAGCUGAGAUCUGCAAUUAUUAUUAUUUUCCUAAGUGAAAUUCUCAGAUUUGUGGAGUUUCUAUGGUGGGCGCACAGAGCAGAAGAUGAGACUCAGAGCUUUUUUUACCAUCCUUACCCAGUGUCAUCAAAGAGCCAUAGAACCACAGGAUCAUGAAGGCUGGAAAGACCCGUAAGCCACCAAAUCCAACCCCACCCCACCAUGCUCAUUGACCACGUUCCUCAAAGCCACAUCUCCAUAGCUCUUAGAGCAGGGAGGAGCAAAAUAUGCAGACUAAGCCUUCUUUUU